CAGCCGUAAACUAUGCUCGCUAGGUGUCAGGCAUGGCGCGACCGUGUCUGGUGCCGCAGGGAAGCCGUGAAGCGAGCCACCUGGGAAGUACGGCCGCAAGGCUGAAACUUAAAGGAAUUGGCGGGGGAGCACAACAACGGGUGGAGCCUGCGGUUUAAUUGGACUCAACGCCGGACAACUCACCGGGGACGACAGCAAUAUGUAGGCCAGGCUGAAGACCCUGCCUGAAUCGCUGAGAGGAGGUGCAUGGCGUAGACGUCU
rnacentral:rRNA from 1 species